rnacentral:rRNA from 1 species
AGAACGAACGCUGGCGGCAUGCCUAAUACAUGCAAGUCGAACGAAGGCUUCGGCCUUAGUGGCGCACGGGUGCGUAACGCGUGGGAAUCUGCCCCUUGGUUCGGAAUAACAGUUGGAAACGACUGCUAAUACCGGAUGAUGACGAAAGUCCAAAGAUUUAUCGCCAAGGGAUGAGCCCGCGUAGGAUUAGCUAGUUGGUGAGGUAAAGGCUCACCAAGGCGACGAUCCUUAGCUGGUCUGAGAGGAUGAUCAGCCACACUGGGACUGAGACACGGCCCAGACUCCUACGGGAGCAGCAGUAGGGAAUAUUGGACAAUGGGCGAAAGCC